rnacentral:rRNA from 1 species
GACGAACGCUGGCGGCGUGCUUAACACAUGCAAGUCGAACGAUGAAGAAAAGACUCGAAGCUUCGGCAGAAAUUCAUUUCGGAUUAGUGGCAGACGGGUGAGUAACGCGUGAGCAACCUACCUCUUACAAAGGGAUAGCCUCGGGAAACCGGGAUUAAUACCAUAUAACAUUGCGACGAAGCAUUUCGAUGCAAUCAAAGCUACGGCGGUAAGAGAUGGGCUCGCGUCCCAUUAACCGGAUGGUGAGGUAACGGCUCACCAUAGUGACGAUGGGUAACCGGGCUGAGAGGGUGAACGGUCACACUGGAACUGAGACACGGUCCAGACUCCUACGGGAGGCAGCAGUGGGGAAUAUUGCACAAUGGAGGGAACUCUGAUGCAGCGACGCCGCGUGAGUGAUGAAGGAAUUCGUUUCGUAAAACUCUGUUCUAUGGGAAGAAAAGGACUGUACCAUAGGAGAAAGCUCCGGCUAAAUACGUG